rnacentral:rRNA from 1 species
UACGGGGGGAGCAAGCGUUGUUCGGAUUUACUGGGCGUAAAGGGCGCGUAGGCGGCCAGCACAAGUCAGUUGUGAAAUCUCCGAGCUUAACUCGGAACGGUCAACUGAUACUGUGCGACUAGAGUGCGGAAGGGGCAACUGGAAUUCUUGGUGUAGCGGUGAAAUGCGUAGAUAUCAAGAGGAACACCUGCGGCGAAGGCGGGUUGCUGGGCCGACACUGACGCUGGAGGCGCGAAAGCCUAGGGGGAGCGAACGGGG